rnacentral:misc_RNA from 1 species
GAGUGGUGUUUGGUUUGAUACGGGUGGUUGGCUCCCUGCUUGAGCAGGCACGGCCACACGUACAUUCCUUUUCAGUUGUGCGGCAAGGCUUGUAUCGUCUUGAUCGUAUAUGUGGGUUUCCUGUGUUGCAUACCUCAUCAACGGCAUCGUUUUGAUAAAAAACAUACCUUUUUCGUCAGGCGUUGCACCCGCAAUGUCGGAUGAACCAUGCAGCAUCCUCUUUGAUCCAUAUAGUCGAUGAGCGUUCAUUGAUUGUUUGGCCCGUUGAGGGUGCCUUGGUCUCUCGGAUAUGGAAGCGAUAGUGGGCAUGGGUUCGUAUGACCCUUUUAUUGCCCUCGUUGAGCGUUCUCGCUUCUCUUACACGACUGCCUUCACGUGUGGCACGUCCCAUCGUGUUUGGCUACGUCGAAGAGGAAUGCUACCUGGUUGAUCCUGCCAGUAGUCAUAU